AGAGUUUGAUCCUGGCUUAGAACGAACGCUGGUGGCGUGUCUUAUACAUGCAAGUCGAGCGAGGCAGCAAUGCCGAGCGGCGAACGGGUGAGUAACGCGUAAGCAAUCUGCCCCAUAUCAGGAAAUACCCGUGCCAACGCGCGGUUAAUGUCCAGGAGAGUGGCCUUCCGCAUGGAGGGUUGACUAGAGAUUUAUCGGUAUGGGAUGAGCUUGCGUCCGAUUAGCUAGUUGGCGGGGCAACGGCCCACCAAGGCGACGAUCGGUAGCCGGCCUGAGAGGGUGAUCGGCCACAUUGGGACUGAGAUACGGCCCAGACUCCUACGGGAGGCAGCAGUAGGGAAUAUUGCACAAUGGGGGAGACCCUGAUGCAGCAACGCCACGUGUGGGGAAGAAGCAUUUCGGUGUGUAAACCACUGUCAUGAGGGAAUAAGGCCCUUAUUCGUAAGGGAUUGAAUGUACCUUGAGAGGAAGCACCGGCAAACUUCGUGCCAGCAGCCGC
rnacentral:rRNA from 1 species